CAUUUUCUCUGUAGGGUACAGAGGUAAGAUGUUCUAUCUUUAAGACCUUUUACUUCACGUAAUCGGAUUAGGCUAGAAAUUAGCCGCCCCAGCGAUCUCGUUUAUCGCUGGGGCGUUUUUUC
rfam:Bacteria symbiont BFo2 of Frankliniella occidentalis strain BFo2 contig044, whole genome shotgun sequence.